rnacentral:rRNA from 1 species
AACGGAUAAAAGGUACUCCGGGGAUAACAGGCUGAUACCGCCCAAGAGUUCAUAUCGACGGCGGUGUUUGGCACCUCGAUGUCGGCUCAUCACAUCCUGGGGCUGAAGUAGGUCCCAAGGGUAUGGCUGUUCGCCAUUUAAAGUGGUACGCGAGCUGGGUUUAGAACGUCGUGAGACAGUUCGGUCCCUAUCUGCCGUGGGCGCUGGAGAACUGAGGGGGGCUGCUCCUAGUACGAGAGGACCGGAGUGGACGCAUCACUGGUGUUCGGGUUGUCAUGCCAAUGGCACUGCCCGGUAGCUAAAUGCGGAAGAGAUAAGUGCUGAAAGCAUCUAAGCACGAAACUUGCCCCGAGAUGAGUUCUCCCUGACCCUUUAAGGGUCCUGAAGGAACGUUGAAGACGACGACGUUGAUAGGCCGGGUGUGUAAGCGCAGCGAUGCGUUGAGCUAACCGGUACUAAUGAACCGUGAGGCUUAACCUUACAACGCCGAAG